GUCUGUUCGGGGACAUUCAAUAAAAUUGGAACAAUACAGAGAAGAUUAGCAUGAUCCUUGCACAAGGAUGACACGCACAAAUAAAAAGAAUCCAAUUUUUUG